rnacentral:rRNA from 1 species
GGCUCAGGAUGAACGCGGGCGGCGUGCCUAAUACAUGCAAGUCGAACGAGGUGCCUUUGUAGCAAUACGAGGGUAUCCUAGUGGCGAACGGGUGAGUAACGCGUUGGUGACCUGCCCCGAAGUGUGGGAUACCAGUCCGAAAGGACUGCUAAUACCGCAUACGGUCAUCGGAUUUAGAAACCGAUGUCCAAAGCAGCAAUGCGCUUUGGGAGGGACCUGCGUCCCAUCAGCUAGUUGGUAGGGUAACGGCCUACCAAGGCUACGACGGGUAGGGGACCUGAGAGGGUGACCCCCCACAAUGGAACUGAAAUACGGUCCAUACACCUACGGGUGGCAGCAGUAGGGAAUAUUGCACAAUGGGCGAAAGCCUGAUGCAGCAACGCCGCGUGCACGAUGAAGGUCUUCGGAUCGUAAAGUGCUUUUCUGGGAGAUGAGAAAGGACAGUAUCCCAGGAAUAAGUCUCGGCUAACUACGUGCCAGCAGCCGCGGUAAAACGUAGGAGGCAAGCGUUAUCCGGAUUCACUGGGCGUAAAGCGCGUGCAGGCGGUUUGGUAAGUUGGGCGUGAAAUCUCCCGGCUUAACUGGGAGAGGUCGUUCAAUACUACCGGACUAGAGAACAGUAGAGGAAGAUGGAAUUCCCGGUGUAGUGGUGAAAUGCGUAGAUAUCGGGAGGAACACCAGUGGCGAAGGCGAUCUUCUGGACUGUUUCUGACGCUCAUAUGCGAAAGCUAGGGUAGUAAACGGGAUUAGAGACCCCGGUAAUCCUAGCUGUAAACGAUGUGAACUUGGCGUCGGUGGCUUAAACACUAUCGGUGCCGAAGCAAACGCGAUAAGUUCACCGCCUGGGGGCUACGAUC